rnacentral:rRNA from 1 species
GGAAAUCUCACCAGGCCCGGACACUGGAAGGAUUGACAGAUUGAUAGCUCUUUCUUGAGUUGGUGGAGUGAUUUGUCUGGUUAAUUCCGAUAACGAACGAGACCCCAACCUGCUAACUAGCCCUCGGGUCCUGCUUCUGUUGGGCCCGACGGAAUGAUUCGCUUCUUAGAGGGACUCGCGGCGCCUAGCCGCACGAAGGGGGGCGAUAA